rnacentral:lncRNA from 1 species
CUAAAUAUUAGACGUCUGUGCAAAGGGUUUGAUGUGUCUCUGUUGUUUCAGGUGGAGGAGCUGAGUUCUCUGGGAUUCUCGGACCUGGCUCAGGUGCAGGAGGUGCUGACCCAGUCCGGGGGCCAGCUCAGGGGGGCUCUGGCCCUGCUGCAGAGGUCCAUCCUGGAGCCUUUUCAUGAGAGAAUCUGGAGCGACGAGCCAGAGCCUGCGGUGGACGUGCACCACCCGGACAAAGAUCGCAUCUGUCGCCGCCUGCUGGCCGUGUACGACCUGCCGAGCUGGGGCCGCUGCGAGCUGGCUCUGUCCCUGCUGCUGGAGGAUAGCGCCCCCUACGCCCUGGAGGACGUGGUGCAGGCUGUGAGGGA